GCCGUGAUGGCACAGCCAUCGAUAUCUAGCAAGAGGCAGUUGGACUCAAGCAAGUACCUUCCCGUCGACAUGCCUGCUUCACCGGGGAGGGACAUUUUUUCAUUUCCUUGUCUAAGUUGCAUCAAUUUCUAGCCAUGACACGAUGAUUGCAGUCAUAUGUCCACAAAUUUUAUCGAAUCAUUCUCUUGCUUUUGUCAAUUUCAUCCAUGGUCAUGUAUCAGUUAAUUGAUGGUUUAGGUGACUAAAAUUUUCAUUAUCGCCUCAUAUGUCCACAAAUUUUAUCGAAUCAUUCUCUUGCUUUUGUCAAUUUCAUCCAUGGUCAUGUAUCAGUUAAUUGAUGGUUUAGGUGACUAAAAUUUUCAUUAUCGCCACGCUUCUGUGCAUUUUGCCGUGGUAUAUCACAUCUCCAAGAGCACUCAUCAUGGCAGGACCAUUUGCUUGUUGACUUGUGUUGGGUUUGGCUGCAACCUCUUCCUACUUUAUUGCAUUACAGGCUCACUAACACGAUUAUAUGGAGAAUUCACAAUCAAUAAAAUAAUUGGAGCAAAACACCAGUUUUUGAAAAUAAUGUUGAAUUCUCUUUUCCGUUGGUCUGAUACUUGAAACAUUCACACCUUUUUAAAUGAUUCAUGAGGUACUUGGUCCA